UUUCCGUAGGUGAACCUGCGGAAGGAUCAUUAUUGUAUAACCGAGGCGCGAGGGCUGUCGCUGAGCCGACAGGCCGUGCACGCCCGAGUGUCCUCUCACACAUCCACCUCACACCCAUGUGCACAACCGCGCGGGUGACCAAUCGGCCAGUACGGUGGGGGGAUUCCGUCUCCACAGAAUUUUUGUAUGCAGUGUAGUUUGUAUUUUUUGUUUUUGCGAUCACGCAAUUAAUACAAAUUUUUACAACGGAUCUCUUGGCUUUCGCACCGAUGAAGAAAG
rnacentral:misc_RNA from 1 species